AAUGCUUUUGUAACAAGUCAGCAGUUUUUGUUGUUUUACUUUUUUUAAAAGAGUUUAUCUCCUUAUUUCACUAAAUUUACCAGUAAAAUACAGAUUAUCAAGUUUAUUUUAAAAAAAAGUCUCAUUUUGGAACCACUGUUAUAUAACAGCUAAUAUUGACACGCCCUCGCAGCCAUAGAGCCUGUUUGAGAAUCAGCCCCAUCAACCAAGUCCGAACCACAAUGCUGGAAAUGGGAACACCGCCAUCCUCUGCUGUGUAAAUGAGGGAAGCCUCAGUAAAGCAGGCGGAGGAGGAGUAAACCAGAGAGGAGCACAAAGCCUAAAGCAGCAGUCCCUCCCAAACAGGACUGUAAAAGAAAAAACUACAGCCUCUGAGACGGACAGGGAGCUGCAGCUCCUAAACAACAAACCAACUAACUAGCUGUAACAAACGCUGCAGGAGACUGCUUCUGGGAACAUACUAUAGCGUGUUCACAUGGUCUCCACCCAGUCCUCCUCCUCUUCUGCUGGCACAGGAAACUUCUGACACUUACUGUGGGCUUGACUAAGUGUGGGGAAACAGCCCAGACUCUCACAGCAGGAUGGGUGCCAGACAGGAGACAGUGGGCCUCCUGAACAAAAUAUGGCUCAAGCUUCAAUGUCUGCCCAGCGCCCACCCUUUGGAGAUGGCAGGCUUCUUCAUCCUCCUAAUCUUCAUCUGUGUCACACCUCUUUUUUUGAAGCACAUUAAUUGUUCUCUUCAAAACAGAGCAGCUUCUAAAUACUUUUUUUUUUGUUUCCAACAGUUACGGUCAUUCUCAUGGCGGUGUUCACCUGUGUGAGCCGCCGCUGCUGUUGCCGCUGCUGCCCCUGUUGUAAGCCCAAACAGGACGGACCCAAUGUUUGAGUGAACGUUUUUACUAUCAGACAGGUUUUUCCUGCAGAUCUGCAAAGCACAAUGUUUAGAAAUCCUGCCAGAGUUUCGGAUAUAAACCAUACAGAAUGCACAAAAAGGGCAGGGCCCCAGAACAACCAAGCUAACUGUUAGGAUCAUGUUCAGGGCUACAAAGAACACCUGUCAAUGCUGCCAGGCUUUCAGGAGAAGCGACAUUCCUCUGGAGCAUCCCUGCCACCUGCAGAGUGACAACAGCUCAUCUACCCUGACGAAAUGGGGCCGGUCCCAGACCAAACUGAACAAGCUUCCGUGCCUUUAAAAAUAGUAAGCUGCACAGUGUUAGAUGAGCAGAAAUUAAGAAACAUAUUAAAACGAGAGAGAAAAAACGAAGCACAUGGCAGCCAGGAAAGCAGCCGAAAGUUGAUGAAGAUUGAAAGCAGUGAUAGCAAAGUCUCCUGCUCCAAUUUAAGUUCAAGGAGUGAAGGUUUAAGUGGUGAUCUAUCCAGUGAGGAAGAGGAAGUCUGAGGGCAGCACAUUAGAGACCUAACAAACCAGAACCCUACAGAGGGAUUCAUAAGACCUCUGUGGUAAAGGAACAUGUGUGGCCAAACUAUAAUUCCAAAAAGUUAAAUCUGGCAGUACUCAGGUAGAAUUAAAUAUUGUUUCACUUUAUACCAGCGCUGUUACUCUAGUGUGCAUCACUUCGGUUACUUCCAACAAAACAAUGCUUUAAGUUAGGGAGUAGUGAAAAGGUUGUGUAAAACAUAACACCAGUGAACGGAAGCAGCUGAAAGUCUCCCUUUUCUAUAAACAAUCGGCUUGCAAUUUACUCAGAAUGGUUUAAUUGAACUACAAUUAUGUAGCUGCCAAAGUGUAAGUUUACAGUUAAUUUUCUCACAACAACAAAAAAGUCCCUUAAAGUAAAUGCCACAUAAGAUAGUUGGCAGGGAAAUUAGAACCCUGAUAUACAAUCUGGACUUUUUGUCCCAGGUGGGUGAUAAGAAAUGACAAGAAAUCUGCACUUCUCACCUAUUUACUUUCACAUAUCUCAUCCACUUUUUCUGUGUAUAGUUUAUUUGGAGAAAGUAAGAAUGGUCACUCGAUCCUUUUCUGUGUUGCUAACUGGCGACAUUUGACAGAUGUAUUCCUGUUGGGAAGGCCUUUUUUGUUCAAGUAAAAAAAAAUCGGUAUUAUGCAUUUCUGUUUUAGAGGGGUGGGACUCCAAAUGGUCUUUUUGUGUCAGAAAAAUUUAUUUUAAAAUGACUUAUCUACUUUGAAAAAUAAUGAAAUGGACAAUUGUUAAUUUAAUUAUGUUUCAUACUUCCAUCACUUUUAGGAGAUUUGUCCGUAAAAUAUCUUUGCCCUUUGAAGUGUUCCUUAACAGCAGGGAAUUAGGGGGGCAAGUGCACCCUCUGCUGUUUUGGAAUUGAAAAGUGGAUAUUUAGAGAAAAAUGGAAUUAUGUUUAUACCUAAAAUUAUUAAACUAGUUCAAAUAUAAUAAUGUCAGGUUGAUACUGUACCCUAAUGUACUGCAUUGAUUUUUAUACAAUAAAGAGGUAAUUUCCAAAG